rnacentral:rRNA from 1 species
GACGAACGCUGGCGGCGUGCUUAACACAUGCAAGUCGAACGGAAAGGCCCUGCUUUUGUGGGGUGCUCGAGUGGCGAACGGGUGAGUAACACGUGAGUAACCUGCCCUUGACUUUGGGAUAACUUCAGGAAACUGGGGCUAAUACCGGAUAGGAGCUCCUGCUGCAUGGUGGGGGUUGGAAAGUUUCGGCGGUUGGGGAUGGACUCGCGGCUUAUCAGCUUGUUGGUGGGGUAGUGGCUUGCCAAGGCUUUGACGGGUAGCCGGCCUGAGAGGGUGACCGGCCACAUUGGGACUGGAAUACGGCCCAGACCCCUACGGGAGGCAGCAGUGGGGAAUAUUGCACAAUGGGCGGAAGCCUGAUGCAGCAACGCCGCGUGCGGGAUGACGGCCUUCGGGUUAUAAACCGCUUUCGCCUGUGACGAAGCGUGAGUGACGGUAAUGGGUAAAGAAGCACCGGCUAACUACGUG